GUGCCAGCAGCCGCGGUAAUACCAGCCCCGCGAGUGGUUGGGACGUUUACUAGGCCUAAAGCGCCUGUAGCCGGCCCUGUAAGUCCCUCCCUAAAGGCCCGGGCUCAACCCGGGAACUGGGAGGGAUACUGCAGGGCUAGGGAGCGGAAGAGGCCAGGGGUACUCCCGGGGUAGGGGCGAAAUCCUAUAAUCCCGGGAGGACGACCAGUGGCGAAGGCGCCUGGCUAGGACGCGUCCGACGGUGAGGGGCGAAAGCUGGGGGAGCGAACCGGAUUAGAUACCCGGGUAGUCCCAGCUGUAAACGAUGCGGAUUGGGUGCCGGUACGGCUUCGGGCCGUAUCGGUGCCUCAGGGAAGCCGUUAAAUCCGCCGCUUGGGGAGUACGGUCGCAAGACUGAAACUUAAAGGAAUUGGCGGGGGAGCACCACAAGGGGUGAAGCCUGCGGCUCAAUUGGAGUCAGCGCCGGGAACUUUACCGGGGGCGACAGCAGUAUGAGGGCCAAGCUGAUGACUUUGCCCGACGCGCUGAGAGGUGGCGCAUGGCCGUCGCCAGCUCGUGCCGUGAGGUGUCUGGUUAAGUCCAGGAACGAGCGAGACCCUCACCCCUAGUUGCCACCGCGCAAGCGGGCACACUAGGGGGACCGCCACCGCUAAGGUGGAGGAGGGAGGGGGCAACGGCAGGUCAGCAUGCCCCGAAUCCCCCGGGCCGCACGCGGGCUGCAAUGGUGGAGACAAUGGGUUCCGAACCCGAAAGGGGGAGGUAAUCCUUGAAACUCCACCGUAGUUGGGAUCGAGGGCUGCAACCCGCCCUCGUGAACCUGGAAUCCCCAGUAAUCGCGUGUCAUCAUCGCGCGGUGAACACGUCCCCGCUCCUUGCACACACCGCCCGUC
rnacentral:rRNA from 1 species